rnacentral:rRNA from 1 species
UACGAAGGGGGCUAGCGUUGCUCGGAAUCACUGGGCGUAAAGCGCACGUAGGCGGAUUGUUAAGUCAGGGGUGAAAUCCUGGAGCUCAACUCCAGAACUGCCUUUGAUACUGGCGAUCUUGAGUCCGGGAGAGGUGAGUGGAACUGCGAGUGUAGAGGUGAAAUUCGUAGAUAUUCGCAAGAACAUCAGUGGCGAAGGCGGCUCACUGGCCCGGUACUGACGCUGAGGUGCGAAAGCGUGGGGAGCAAACAGG